AUUGAACGCUGGCGGAAUGCUUUACACAUGCAAGUCGAACGGUAGAGGGGGCAACCCCUUGAGAGUGGCGAACGGGUGAGUAAUAUAUCGGAACGUGCCCAGUCGUGGGGAUAACGUAGCGAAAGUUACGCUAAUACCGCAUACGAUCUAAGGAUGAAAGCGGGGGAUCGCAAGACCUCGCGCGAUUGGAGCGGCCGAUAUCAGAUUAGGUAGUUGGUGAGGUAAAGGCUCACCAAGCCAACGAUCUGUAGCUGGUCUGAGAGGACGACCAGCCACACUGGAACUGAGACACGGUCCAGACUCCUACGGGAGGCAGCAGUGGGGAAUUUUGGACAAUGGACGCAAGUCUGAUCCAGCAAUGCCGCGUGCAGGAUGAAGGCCUUCGGGUU
rnacentral:rRNA from 1 species